ACACGACCCCAGGUCAGGUGGG
rnacentral:rRNA from 1 species